AUUGAACGCUGGCGGCAGGCCUAACACAUGCAAGUCGAACGGUAACAGGGAUCAGCUUGCUGAUUCGCUGACGAGUGGCGGACGGGUGAGUAAUGUCUGGGAAACUGCCUGAUGGAGGGGGAUAACUACUGGAAACGGUAGCUAAUACCGCAUAACGUCGCAAGACCAAAGAGGGGGACCUUCGGGCCUCUUGCCAUCGGAUGUGCCCAGAUGGGAUUAGCUAGUAGGUGGGGUAACGGCUCACCUAGUCGACGAUCCCUAGCUGGUCUGAGAGGAUGACCAGCCACACUGGAACUGAGACACGGUCCAGACUCCUACGGGAGGCAGCAGUGGGGAAUAUUGCACAAUGGGGGCAAGCAUGAUGCAGCCAUGCCGCGUGUAUGAAGAAGGCCUUCGGGUUGUAAAGUACUUUCAGCGGGGAGGAAGGGAGUAAAGUUAAUACCUUUGCUCAUUGACGUUACCCGCAGAAGAAGCACCGGCUAACUCCGUG
rnacentral:rRNA from 1 species